AUGGCGCUGUCGAGCUCAUGGGACGGCUCCAACGUCCAUGAGGACCAUGUUGCGUUCCUCCGUCAGACUCGGCGCCUGCCCGACGCCAACCUCGUGUGGGUCCGCCUGGCGCCGGAGACGGAGAUCUCGCCGGCGCCGGAGGAGGGCGAGCGGGUCGUCUUCCGCUCGCACUUCCUACGCGGUUUCGGCCUUCCGACGAGCGGAUUUCUAUGCUCCUUCCUCGAGUUCUACAACCUUCAGCCGCAUCACCUCACGCCCAAUGCGGUGAUGCUGCUGUCGGCCUUCGUCUCCCUCUGCGAAGGCUUCUUGGGGCUGCUCCCCACGCUGGAGCUUUGGGGGGAAUUCUUCCAGAGCAAACUCGGCACCGUCGUCGUCGGCGUGCCCGCCCCCUGCGGGGCCUUCAUCGCCAUGAGGAGGGCGGGCGAGAACAACCCGUUCCCACCCAUCCCCCUGAUCCAGUCGGUGAAGAUCUGGCAGAAGUCAUACUUCUACGUGAAGAACGUCGCCGAGCAAGGAGACCACGUCAACCUGCCGGCUUACGUAGCCGGCCCGCCGGCUGGGAGGCAGCCCUCAUGGAGUUUCCGGUCCCGGUCACUGUCUCAGGCCAGGAAUGCUGCCGUCUCCCGGCUUCGGGUGAUGAUCCAGUCGGAAGGUCUGAGCGGGGCCGACUUGGUGGCCGCCUUCAUGGAGCGCCGGAUAUCUCCUCUCCAAGCCGGCCCCACAUGA
rnacentral:rRNA from 1 species